rnacentral:lncRNA from 1 species
GCAGGCAGGGGCUGGGGGUGUCAGGAGGGGUGGGACCUGGAGCCCACGGGAAGCCCUUCCUCAGGGCCUCAUCUUUGUGUCUCAGGGCAGAUGAAGUCGGCCUGAUCAUGACCAACCUGGAGAAAGCUAAUCAGCGAGCCGAGGCUGCCCAGCGGGAGGUGGAAAGUCUCCGGGAACAGCUGGCUUCUGUCAACAGCUCCAUCCGCCUGGCUUGUUGCUCUCCCCAGGGGCCUAGUGGGG